CAGGAAAAAAAAAAGUACAUUUUAUUUAAUGACCAAGUACACACACGUUCACACACACACAUUUGUACAUAUAACUAAAACAAUUUUUUAUUCUUACCACGUGGGAUGCAUUGUGAAAUAUUCUAUGUUCUUUCAUGUAAAGAAAAAUGAGGGUCACAUUUUAGUAAAAAAGUUUCACAAAUCACUAAUAUGUUAUAAUCUAUAACUCCCAUAACUGCUCUAAAGCAUUGACAAUGCUAAGCUAUAAUUUUAGGGGAAUAUAUAUUCGUGCUCCUUCUUAGAAUUAGCCCAUGAUAGUAUUUUAGGGACUCAACUCAGAGAAAAAAAAUUUAACAUAGCCUUGUUGCCAUGUAUCCAACCUGGACAUGGUACAUGCUUUCAGUGAGUUUAAAUCACCUACCUUCCUAGGCCCAAAAUCUGAGGGAAUGACUUCCAACUGUGUAACAGGACCCUUUGUCUGUAUUAUACAUUUUAUAUAUGUCUUUUCAUGUACAUUAUUUCAUUUGAUCCUCACAACAACCCUGUGAGGUAGGCCGGGGGGAAAAUGUUAGUUUUUUUUUUUUGGAAAGCACUGUCUCCUUGGCUCUAGUCUAAAGGAACGUAAGCAAUAUGAAGGACCCUAGAGGCCAAGGAAAUUGAAGAGAAGUCAGAGGAAGGGAUAUAAAAUGGAAUGUAUUAAUGGAUUUUAGCCCCUUUAAGCUUGUACUUUUGUGAGAGGGUUCAAUGGAGAGCUUUAAUGCAGAUGAGACUUGAAGCUUCUGAAGAAGAUCUAAGUCUUGAUGAGGUUAUUCAAACUCAAAUCUUGAAUGCAUAAUGAUGAUAGGCCAUGGUCUUCAAAAACGUGGUACUUGAUGCUCUCCCAGAGUGCUAGGAUUUGAAUGCCACAAUACAUAUUGACUCAUGUUUUUGUCCAUUAAUGGUCCGUGGGUUUCUUUAAAUGAAGUCCAUUUUAGAGUCCAUAGAUUUCAGUGUUCUGCAAAACUGUCGGGGAUCCUAGGCUCCCAGCGCAUCCCAGACGCUCCGCCCCACCCAUGGCGUCACCC
rnacentral:lncRNA from 10 species